AAGUCGUAACAAGGUUUCCGUAGGUGAACCUGCGGAAGGAUCAUUAACGAGUUGGAACGUGGAGGUUGAUGCUGGUGCAUAUAUGCACAUGUGCUCGCCUUCACACUCUUCAUCUACUCAACCCCCCUGUGCACUUUAUCAGAGUAUGUAAUAGUUGUAGUGGCUGUUUGUUAGAAGGGGGUAAACCCUUUCACAACAGUAGUCAUUAUAAUGAUAGUUUCUACUAUUACUAUGAAUGCUUUGAACUUUACUUAUAUAAACACUUUACUUGUUAUUGUUAUUGUGAAUGUGUAAUGUUCCUUGUGAGCAAAAUACAAUUAUAUACAACUUUCAACAACGGAUCUCUUGGCUCUC
rnacentral:misc_RNA from 1 species